GUUUUAAUAAUUUAAAAAAAAAAUAAUGAUUUUGUAAGUCAAAAUUGAAGUUAAACUUCUUAAAACA
rnacentral:tRNA from 2 species